rnacentral:rRNA from 1 species
GCCGCUCUUAAACUAGGGAUUGAUACCCUAUUAUUCUGUUCAUAGAUUUAUAUUGCUUGAGUAGUAAUCAGUUAUGAUCUUGAAACUUAAAGAAUUUGGCGGUAUUCAAGUCUAGUUAGAGGAACCUGCGCUAUAAACGAUAUGCCACGAAUAAUCUUACUUUUGUUUGCAGUCAGUAUGUAUACCUCCAUUAUAAAAUAAUAUUUAUAAGUAAGUAUUGUAAUAACUCCUCUUAAUAUAUUAGGUCAAGGUGCAGCUUAUACAAAAGUUGUUGUGGGUUACAAUGUGUUAUAUACUCGCGGAUGAGUGUCUUAUAAUCUCUCUGAAGUUGGAUUUAAUUGUACUUUUAUUUUAAUAAGUUAAAUUGAUAUAAGCUCUAGAAUAUGUACACUCGCCCCGCUCUUACA